AAAAAAUAGCCCCCGCCUACUAAUGUUUUGGCCGCUUCUAGAUGGCGGUGCAGGAGUCGGUGGCUCAGUUGUUCAUGGCCCUGAAGGUCCAGGGGUACCCGACCCUCAAGGUGCCCUACGAGACGCUGAACAAACGCUUUCGCGCCACUCAGAACAUUGACCGGGAGACCAGCCACGUCACUAUGGUGGUGGCCGAGCUGGAGAAGACGCUGAGUGGCUGCCCCGCCGUGGACUCUGUGGUCAGCCUGCUGGACGGCGUGGUGGAGAAGCUCAGCGUCCUUAAGAGGAAGGCGGUGGAGUCCUUCCAGGCCGAGGAUGAGAGCGUCAAGCUGUGCAAGCGCCAGAUCCAGCACCUCAAAGAGCACAGCAGCGAGCAGCCCGUGGCGGCCAGCGUGUGGCAGAGGAAGCGCAUGGCCGCAUGGUGGUGGAGCACCUGCUGCGCUGCGGCUACUACUACACGGCUGUCAGGGUGGCGCGCCAGAGCGGCCUCGAGAGCUGCCUGGAGUUCAGCCUCAGAAUCCAGGAGUUCAUUGAACUCAUCCGGCAAAAUAAGAGAUUGGACGCCGUGAGACAGGCGAGAAAGCACUUCAACCAAGCAGAAGGGAGCCAGCUGAAUGAGGUGCGCCAGGCCAUGGGCAUGCUGGCCUUCCUCCCUGACACGCACAUCUCCCCGUACAAGGACCUCCUGGACCCCGCACGGUGGCGGAUGCUGAUCCAGCAGAUCCCGUACGACAACUACCGACUACACCAGCUGGGAAACAACUCCGUGUUCACCCUCAGCCUGCAGGCCGGCCUCUCUGCUAUCAAGACACCACAGUGCUACAAGGAGGACGGCAGCUCCAAGAGCCCCGACUGCCCUGUGUGCAGCCCUCCCUCAACAGGCUGGCGCAGCCCCUGCCCAUAGCCCACUGUGCCAACUCCCGCCUGGUCUGCAAGAUCUCCGGCUUUGUGAUGAACGAGAACAACCCGCCCAUGAUGCUGCCCAACGGCUACGUCUACGGCUACAAUUCUCUGCUUUCUAUUCGUCAAGAUGAUAAAGUCGUUUGCCCAAGAACCAAAGAAGUCUUUCACUUCUCACAAUCCGAGAGAGAAGGUGUACAUCAUGUAGGCCCCUUGUCGCCAAGCGCACGACAAGGGGACGGCUGCAGCGGGCGGAGAGGCCGCGCCUUCUUCCUGCCACGCGCUCCAGCUGGCCGCGCGCUUCUGUUGCUUGCGACCAAAGAUCAGCGAGCAGCGAUAAAUACUCUUUAGGAAGAGAGGAAAUAAGAUUUAAUAAAUUUGUACUUGAAAACAACAUUUUGACUGGUAGGAUUUUGCAACAUGUCAACCAUUUGAUGCUUCUGAAAAGUACUUUCAACUUUCGAAGGAAACUUUCCUUUAAAGACUGACCUAAACCCCGAGGGAAACUUUAGAACGUUUCAAAAAUAGGAGUCCACGGUUUCCCCGUGUUUUUGGUUUCUUCCCUUCUGCGAACGGUGAGACCUGGAGAACAGGCUGGUCCUUCGCCACCUCCCAGAGCCCCUGGCCCGGCCUGGGAAAGGUGGCGGCGGCGCUGGACUGAGCUGCAGCGACCCGCAAUGCCGCGCCAUGAGGGACACACGGCUUCCUUCGAGAGCUGCUGCCGUGGGGGGCUGGCUUUGAGGGCGCCUGCCUGCCUUCGGGCCGUGUCCGCGGGACUGUCUGCGUCGGUGGGUAGGUUCCAUAUCACAUCCCCGUGUGCCGUCUUACUUCCUGAGAAUGUAUAACCUGGAAAUCCACGGGACCAAGUUUCUGCAGAGGCCUUGCCGGGUGGUUCCAUAACUGUAGAGUCGAAUUAAUCGUUCAGUUGAGAGUACUGGUGACGUUUCAAAGCAAAUGAACCGCCGUAGUUUUCACAGAACCAUAUCGUGGAGGUUUGUAGUUAGUGCUUAUUUUUGCGUGUUGAUGUUGACUAGCUAAUAAACUCUAAAUGUAAACCAUGGAA